AUGCGGAGGAAAAGAAACCAACUGGGAUUACCUUAGUAACGGCGAGUGAAGCGGUAAAAGCUCAAAUUUGAAAUCUGGUACUUUCAGUGCCCGAGUUGUAAUUUGUAGUGGGAAUGCAGCUCAAAGUGGGUGGUAAAUUCCAUCUAAAGCUAAAUAUUGGCGAGAGACCGAUAGCGAACAAGUACAGUGAUGGAAAGAUGAAAAGAACUUUGAAAAGAGAGUGAAAAAGUACGUGAAAUUGUUGAAAGGGAAGGGCAUUUGAUCAGACAUGGUGUUUUUUGCAUGCACUCGCCUCUCGUGGGCUUGGGCCUCUCAAAAAUUUCACUGGGCCAACAUCAAUUCUGGCAGCAGGAUAAAUCAUUAAGAAUGUAGCUACUUCGGUAGUGUUAUAGCUUUUUGGAAUACUGUUAGCCGGGAUUGAGGACUGCGCUUCGGCAAGGAUGUUGGCAUAAUGGUUAAAUGCCGCCCGU
rnacentral:rRNA from 1 species